GACGAACGCUGGCGGCGUGCUUAACACAUGCAAGUCGAACGGAAAGGCCCUGCUUUUGUGGGGUGCUCGAGUGGCGAACGGGUGAGUAACACGUGAGUAACCUGCCCUUGACUUUGGGAUAACUUCAGGAAACUGGGGCUAAUACCGGAUAGGAGCUCCUGCUGCAUGGUGGGGGUUGGAAAGUUUCGGCGGUUGGGGAUGGACUCGCGGCUUAUCAGCUUGUUGGUGGGGUAGUGGCUUACCAAGGCUUUGACGGGUAGCCGGCCUGAGAGGGUGACCGGCCACAUUGGGACUGAGAUACGGCCCAGACUCCUACGGGAGGCAGCAGUGGGGAAUAUUGCACAAUGGGCGGAAGCCUGAUGCAGCAACGCCGCGUGCGGGAUGACGGCCUUCGGGUUGUAACCCGCUUUCGCCUGUGACGAAGCGUGAGUGACGGUAAUGGGUAAAGAAGCACGGGCUAACUACGUG
rnacentral:rRNA from 1 species